CUCGACUUCUGGUGGCUAGAUCCUGGGAAAACGUCUCCAAUUGGAGAGUUCCAGCAAAAUCCAUGGCAUGGAUGAUGAGAUAGCGGUUUUACUUCCACAUGCCUUCAAAGAGUGAGCCACAACUUUCUCAUGCCUUCGCUGGAUGUUAGAUUGAUGUUUGAAAUGGACUGCUUUAAUGGGUUCUGUAUUGUGUCUAUUAGCUGUUGGACAAAUUGCAUUUGGUUGUCACUCUUGGGUUAUACUUGUACUCAUAAUGGACAAGGUCUUGCAGAGGACAUUUGGGGAAUUAAAUUCUCAAGUGAAAUCAAAAAUGAUAUAUUCCCACUGUUGGUGACUUGGUGCAAGUGUGAUAGAAGUUUGGUGGAAACUCACAAGAUGUUGCCCGACCUGUAGCAUAUGAUUUUUCAUUACGAAAAGCAUGAUCCAUCCACGUGGGGGUCACUCUGUGAGGAAGUAGUAAAAAGGAAGCGAUAGCUGCUGAGAAGAGCACCACCUCUAGGGGGGCAAAAAAUGCGAGCCCAUGGCAAUUGACCAACAAAAAGCGGAGUAGGGGGAAGCUGCCCGCAUACAUGUGACUUUGGUAAGUCCCAAGGGGGAGGCAAUUGAGCGGACUAUUCUACACCGUACAUCGUUGUGAGUGGAUGGAUCAUAUUAUGGUGGAUUUUUAGAUGCCUUUGAAUCUCUUUAUUUCUUUAUAUAUAUCUCCUGUUUAUAAAUCUUAUUUCAGUCUUAAUCAUUAAACUACACAAAACUGGGGAAGUAAGUUUCAUUUUGCUCUCAUUGUUGAUCAUCGUUGUUAUAAACAUAUUCAUAGAACGUUCUUUUCACUCUGUUUAUUGAUGAUGAUUAUUGUAGGAUAUUCUAGUAUUGAUUACACGUUUGCAUGUUAUUGUCCACCUAUAACUUACAAAUUAUCUUUAUUCAUUGCAUGGGAGUAUCAUGUUGAAUUUAUAUGCUAACAAUAAUAAACGUUAGUGGCUAGAACAUCACGCACUACCUCAAUUAAUAGGGCCAUUGCUAACCCUUUAUGUAGGCCAACACACUUGAGACCUUGUCAUCUAUGAGUUGCUAUGAGAAAUGUACUCUUAUGACUGAUUUUACAUUAAUAGUUUAUUAGAGCUUUUAGAUAUCUAGGCCAUCUUUAGUUAGCAUAUUUUGGAUGAGGCCUUGUAUUGUUAGUAGUAGUAUCAAAGCUAAUCUAUUACCACUACCAAGUAGGUGUAGGCUAGGAAAUAUGGAUUUAUGGCCUAACGAAGAUGUCAGGAAUUAAAAGGAGUGAGAUUUUAUUUUGACCCAAUUCCACAUUGAUACUCAAUUGAGAUCUUGAAUAUGUUGCUUGGUCUCAUAAACCCUUGAUUUACCUUUAACUAAUAAUUUCAUGUGAAGACCUGUUACAAAAGGAACAGAUCCAACCCAGAACCACAGUGGAGUGACUGCAUAUCAAAAAAAGGUUUUGAGACUAAUUUGGAUCCAAUUAACAAAUGGGUUUCUGGCCUAUAGAGAAGGUCAGGAAUUAAAAGGAGAGGGAAGAGUUUGUCACUGCUAAUGUCUUACAUACAUAGUUUAUUCAACGGUAUUGGAUAUAUUAUUUUCAUAAAUCACCUCUAACUAAUAUUUUUGGAUAUAUUAUUGUACUAACUAAUUGAUGUUUAUCAAUUGUUUCCUUAUCCCUUAUUGUUCAUUUUGUAUUCUGUUACUCAUGCCUAUCAAUUGUUUCCUCAUCCCUUCCCCGUUAUUGGCUCGUGCAUUGACCGUUUAUUGCCUCUACUUUUAUUUUUCCUAUCACAAUACAUUUUUAUCUUUCACUAAGUUGAGACUUAGCCUCUUUCUUUUAACAUUUUUCAGAAUCAUCGCUUGGAUGUAAUAAUUGUGGUAUGAUUCCUUAUGAUACUUUUAACGACUCAAGACAUACUUAUGGAUGUAAAACUGACUAAACUAACUUAGAAUGGUAUAUUGACAUAUGAAUUACUAACUAUUUAGUUUUUGUAAUUAUCCAUUUAUUUAUUAUUUUAUUAAUAGACAUAG